UCGGGAAUAUUGCGCAAUGGAGGGAACUCUGACGCAGUGACGCCGCGUGCAGGAAGAAGGUUUUCGGAUUGUAAACUGCUUUAGACAGGGAAGAAGAAAGACAGUACCUGUAGAAUAAGCUCCGGCUAACUACGUGCCAGCAGCCGCGGUAAUACGUAGGGAGCGAGCGUUAUCCGGAUUUAUUGGGUGUAAAGGGUGCGUAGACGGGAAAUUAAGUUAGUUGUGAAAUCCCUCGGCUCAACUGAGGAACUGCAACUAAAACUGGUUUUCUUGAGUACUGGAGAGGAAAGUGGAAUUCCUAGUGUAGCGGUGAAAUGCGUAGAUAUUAGGAGGAACACCAGUGGCGAAGGCGACUUUCUGGACAGAAACUGACGUUGAGGCACGAAAGUGUGGGGAGCAAACA
rnacentral:rRNA from 1 species